rnacentral:lncRNA from 1 species
AUAAAUAAAACCGGUGUUUUACUUGACAGGUGUGAAGAAACAGUUUCUUUCAAAAAGCCUUCAGUCUAAAACUCUAAACAUAGCUGAUCAAGUGCUACUGUUUGAGGCUGUACCUAAAAUUAAUAUUCAAAUUAUGUACCUGCCAAUCUACCCUAUAACCUGCUCUGUUAUCCAGAUGUCCACAGAAAUGGGCAAAGGAGUACACCAAAUGGCCUCUUGAUUCACCAAAGCCACAUGCUCAAGCGAUUUAUAGUUACAUUCUGCCCUGAGAUGCACACAUC